rnacentral:rRNA from 1 species
UACAGAGGUGGCAAGCGUUGUUCGGAAUUACUGGGCGUAAAGGGCGCGUAGGCGGCUUGGUCAGUCCCGUGUGAAAUCCCUCGGCUCAACUGAGGAACUGCACGGGAAACUGCCUGGCUUGAGUUCGGGAGAGGGAAGCGGAAUUCCGGGUGUAGCGGUGAAAUGCGUAGAUAUCCGGAGGAACACCGGUGGCGAAGGCGGGUCUCUGGGCCGAUACUGACGCUGAGGAGCGAAAGCGUGGGGAGCGAACAGG